rnacentral:rRNA from 1 species
GAUGAACGCUAGCUACAGGCUUAACACAUGCAAGUCGCGGGGCAGCAUGGGGGUUGCUUGCAAUCCCCGAUGGCGACCGGCGCACGGGUGAGUAACGCGUAUCCAACCUGCCCUUCACCACGGGCUAACCCGGCGAAAGUCGGACUAAUACCGUAUGUUGUCCAUUGACGGCCUCCGAUUUGGACGAAAGGCUUGGCGGUGAGGGAUGGGGAUGCGUCCGAUUAGCCAGACGGCGGGGUAACGGCCCACCGUGGCUACGAUCGGUAGGGGUUCUGAGAGGAAGGUCCCCCACACUGGAACUGAGACACGGUCCAGACUCCUACGGGAGGCAGCAGUGAGGAAUAUUGGUCAAUGGGCGUAAGCCUGAACCAGCCAAGUAGCGUGCAGGAUGACGGCCCUAUGGGUUGUAAACUGCUUUUAUGCGGGGAUAAAGUGGCCCACGUGUGGGCUUUUGCAGGUACCGCAUGAAUAAGGACCGGCUAAUUCCGUG